CCCUGAAGGAGGUAGAAGACUACUGCAGUUGUCCCAGUAGGAAAGCCAGGUGGCUCAGGCUGACAUGAUGGUGGACGUAGUGAUGAGUGGUAGGUAUGAGAAUGUAGGAAUUGUAAGGCUAGAGCUCGGUUGAUGUUGUUCCUAUAAACAUGGCAGCAGGGGUGCCAUGAGGUGGGUAAGGCGAGGGAAAGAGAUGUUGCCUCUGAGGCUUUGGCCUGAGGGACUAGGUGGAUGGUGGUGCCGCUGACUGAGAUGGACGAGAUUUUAGGGGGAGCAAGUCUCUAACCUGCUUUGGAGACAUGCUUCCACAUGCCUGGUUUCAGAAUGUGAUACAUAUUCAGGUCUUAUUCAUUCAUCUUCUUCUGAGGUUCCUCCCAUCAAAGUGAAAAGCUGAGUCAAACUAUCCAGUUGGCAUGUCUGAAGCAGUCAUUACUACGUGGCGUAUAUUCACAGGUAGUGACUUCGAGAGCAAGAGCACUAACAACACCUGCAGUGUCAUCACCUCACCCAGUGUCUGCUCGUCCUCUCUGCUGGGGAGUUCAACACACACUAUGGGAUACACGGAGAAACACUGGCCCAUCUCUGUGUCUGGGACUGAUUUAAAUGAGUUUGACUAGUUUUCCCUGAAUUCACAGGUAUUUAACCACCGAGUUGAAUCAGUUUAGCAACUUGGCUGGUAACCUAAUAACAAAAAAACCAGACUGGUUUGUACAUGUCCAGAGGGCCGUGGUCUGUGAGUUCAGUUGGUGGGGGCAGGGGGAGAGGGUUGAUUUUUUCAGAGACUCUGAAAACAUAAAAUUCCACAUGGAUGAUUAACAUUUCUAUGCCACAUAAUGGGUGUUGGCACACAAUGAAUGGGAAGAAAAUGUUAUUGAAAGGGAAAAAAACUUUGUGAUAGAAUGAUCUCCCCUGGAAAUUUAAGCCAAUCUCAAGGAAAUCUGUUUGCAUCUGUCUUCUUCAUGUAUCCCUUUGA
rnacentral:lncRNA from 1 species